rnacentral:rRNA from 1 species
AGGUAGGACUACCCGCUGAACUUAAGCAUAUCUA